GUACUUGCUUUGGCAGUACAUAUACUAAAAUUGGAACGAUACAGAGAAGAUUAGCAUGCCCCUGCGCUAGGUAUACGAUCAAAAUGUUACUAAAUGAUCGCCGAAUUU